rnacentral:rRNA from 1 species
UACGGGGGGCAAGCGUUGUUCGGAAUUACUGGGCGUAAAGGGCUCGUAGGCGGCCAACUAAGUCAGACGUGAAAUCCCUCGGCUUAACCGGGGGAACUGCGUCUGAUACUGGAUGGCUUGAGUUUGGGAGAGGGAUGCGGAAUUCCAGGUGUAGCGGUGAAAUGCGUAGAUAUCUGGAGGAACACCGGGUGGCGAAGGCGGCAUCCUGGACCAACACUGACGCUGAGUGAGCGAAAGCCAGGGGAGCAA